CUCGUGUCUCCGCCUUUUGGCUGAGAUCUAGUGUAGUAUCUGUUCUUCUCAGUUUAAUAUCUGCUACGUCCUCUAUCCAGGACAAUCUAUGAAUGGAUGUUUGGAAUUAGGAGAUGGAAUAGGAGCUUGCUCCGUCCACUCCACGCAUCGACCUGGUAUUGCAGUACCUUAAAAAUAAAGAAAGAGAG